GACGAACGCUGGCGGCGUGCUUAACACAUGCAAGUCGAACGGAAAGGCCCUGCUUGCAGGGUACUCGAGUGGCGAACGGGUGAGUAACACGUGGGUGAUCUGCCCUGCACUUCGGGAUAAGCCUGGGAAACUGGGUCUAAUACCGGAUAGGAGCCAUUUUUAGUGUGAUGGUUGGAAAGUUUUUUCGGUGUAGGAUGAGCUCGCGGCCUAUCAGCUUGUUGGUGGGGUAAUGGCCUACCAAGGCGGCGACGGGUAGCCGGCCUGAGAGGGUGGACGGCCACAUUGGGACUGAGAUACGGCCCAGACUCCUACGGGAGGCAGCAGUGGGGAAUAUUGCACAAUGGGCGCAAGCCUGAUGCAGCGACGCCGCGUGGGGGAUGACGGCCUUCGGGUUGUAAACUCCCUUCGCUAGGGACGAAGCUUUUUGUGACGGUACCUAGAGAAGAAGCACCGGCUAACUACGUG
rnacentral:rRNA from 1 species